AUUGAACGCUGGCGGCAGGCCUAACACAUGCAAGUCGAGCGGAUGAAGGGAGCUUGCUCCUGGAUUCAGCGGCGGACGGGUGAGUAAUGCCUAGGAAUCUGCCUGGUAGUGGGGGAUAACGUCCGGAAACGGGCGCUAAUACCGCAUACGUCCUGAGGGUGCAAGUGGGUGAUCUUCGGACCUCACGCUAUCAGCUUAGCCUAGGUCGGAUUAGCUAGUUGGUGGGGUAAAGGCCUACCAAGGCGACGAUCCGUAACUGGUCUGAGAGGAUGAUCAGUCAAACUGGAAAUGAGACACGGUACGGAAGAAAACGGGAGGAAGAAGAGGGGAAGAUUGGACAAUGGGGGAAAGCAGGAAAAAGAAAAGCGGAGUGUGUGAAGAAGGUAUUCGGAGUGUAAAGAACUUUAAGUUGGGAGGAAGGGAAGUAAGUUAAUAACUUGCUGUUUUGACGUUACAAACAGAAUAAGCACCGGCUAACUUCGUG
rnacentral:rRNA from 1 species